CACAAGAGCGCACCAUACGCAUCCACAUCUCUCACCCUUUUCACCAAUCGCCGUCCCUUCCCCCUCCCUCCCUGCUCGCUCACCGAGCCCCACAAUCUCCUUAUUACCCUCAUUAAGACCACGCACACGCACCAACAAGCGGUGCCCGUCGUCAUAGCCAAGAUCCAUUCUCGCUCUCUCUCUCGCUCCGUACGAAUCAUCCAUGUCGGACGACGACGUACACGAGCGCCUCACCACCAUCCCUGGUUCGUGCCCGACGCCACUGGAGUUGGGCAUGUCGGGAUGGAACAUCCUCCACUCCUCGGCUGCCGUCUACCCGUACAAGCCGUCCGCCGUGCAGCAGACUGCGAUGAAGAACUUUAUUGAGUCGUGGGCGCACGUGUACGCGUGCAGCUGGUGUGCCUACCACAUGCGGGAGUACGUGCGCGACCACCCGCCAGACGUGCGCGACAAGCUCACCGUCUCACGAUACGUUUGUGAGAUGCACAACGACGUGAAUGUGCGGCUUGGCAAGGACGUAUUCGACUGCUCCCCUAGCGUGGUGCUGCGUCGGUGGCACCCCGGGUACCCAAACAAGAUGGAGGAUAUGCCAACGAUCGAGGAGCAGCUGGCGGCGUCGGACCGGGAGAAGUCCACAGCGAAGGAGGCGAAGCAUAGUCAGCAAGAGGAGGAACAAGGCUUCAGCAGGUCCGGGCUGCACGCCCACGAGGCGGCCCCGAACGAAGCUGUAGCUUGGCGAACCGCAAGUGAGGCAGCAUCGAAGAAAGUAGAUGGCGGCCUGUGGAGCUGGCGAAUCUUUCGCAAGCCAGUCUUAGGAACACAUGCAGCCAAGAGCAACGCACCUCCGGGUACGAGCUCGUCAUCUCCGCCUCCGACUACGCAGCACGAGCCGAGCAUCUCCUCCUCAGGCGCACUGAAGGCCCCAUCGACAGGUGCGGUGGCGGCAGCCGCGUCUGACGUUGGUGCUGCCCAUCCCCGCCACAGCUGGUCCACCUCCACCUCGGAGGCGCACAACAGCUUUCUGACGCCCACCCCGUCACGCGGCAAGGCCGCCGAUGACGACACCGACAUCGAUGCCGUUCUCAAGCGUCUAAAGCGGUGUCAAGUGUACUGCCCAGAGGACGAAGAACUCAAGCACUAGCGAGCCUGCACAUGGGUGUUAUCCUCUGUUGAUGCAUACACUUACACAUAUGUGUAUGUGUAUGUGUGUGUGUGUGUAUGUGUGGGCGGCCUUCAAACUCGCCGAGCGAACCAGCGGGAAGGGAGGAGGGAGAGGCACAUACGUAUGGUUAGUC
rnacentral:misc_RNA from 1 species